CAUGAUUAUGAUUUUUUAAAGAAGCCCUGUUUUGACGAUGAUGUCAUAGAAAUUAAUAAAAUUUCUAGCAGAUAAAGAAAAUGGCCUCACAAAUUCUUAUUUCUACGCAUAUACCGGAAUUCCUGAUUGUAAAUUCCAAUCAAAUGUAAUUAUUAAAUAAUCAGUUCACUAAUGAACAGAGUUUGUCCAAUGUAGUACAUAACAAAAACAAAAUCCAAAAAAUCUCUAUUGCAAGAAAUAAGCAAUUCAAAGCAACAUAAAUAUCAUAAUUUUAUGUUAUGGCUGUUGAAUUAUCCUAGCAUUCAUGGUUGUUCAAUUAUCAAUGUCAUCCGGAGGUGGAUAACAACCAAGCUUCUCAACUACCAAAUCACGCAUGAAUUCUUCAUCAACGAAGCUCAUAAAUUAUCUAGCCAAACUCUCAUCAAACUGAAAUACUUUCAUGAUUUGCAUGAUGUCACGCUGGUCUAUAUUCGUGCCUUGUAGUUUUUCUAGAACCAAUUGCCAAUUGACGUGGUUUAGUGUAUCUAACGAUGCUUUAAUCUCUAUAGCAUUAGCAAUUUUUUUAGAUGAUUCGACAAUGCUCGAUAGGGCAAUGAGACUCUCAUCACUUGGUUGAGUCCAUUGACAUUGGAUUUUGAUGGUUCGUCCUUCGGCGAUACAUUUCAGAGCUCGAAUUGGGCUUUGAUCCAAAUCCUCAUUUUGACCAUCAACUUCAUUCACAUUUUCAUCUGAAAAGUAACAAGAAAAAGAAUUUUUUAGAAUCUUCUAUAUAAUAUGCAUCUUUCAUUUUCAGCAAAAAAUUGCCAAGAGGCACAAGCAUAAGCAUAAACAAGUGCAAGCAUUAAUCAACUCCUCAUAUCUAAUACGGAUAAUAAUCAUCCCAAUAUAUCAUUCCAAUUAGUAUUCAAAGAACAGAAAUCUGUGCGUUGGUUUUGUAAUCUGAACAUAAAAUUGAUGAGAGAAGUUACUGAGAUUCCUAUCAUCCCAACUCAGCCAACGUCUCCAGCACAAAUCUCCAUAAGAUUGAAAAACGUUCUAGACAACACUUCUUUUCCCCCAACAUCUCCAAGAUUACAACACUUCUUUGGACACCACACGAUAUGCUUUUUCUAAUUACUGGAAACAAUACGCAAUUUUAUUUUUUCUCUAUUCUUUUCAAUCAAUAUUUUCAUAGGUAAAUGGAUUCUACAGUAAUCUCCAUCAAAGACAGCCAAAUAGGUUUUGUCUCAUCUACAUUGUCAUUAUAGCCUAUGUCAUAUCUAAGACUAGGAUUCUUAUAGGAUAAUUAACAUUUCUAACAAAAAUAAAGAGUGACAAAUCAUCCACAACAGACAUUCCAUUAAAUAAUCUAUCAAGAUAAUUCCUUCAUGGGGACCUCAUCUCUAUAAAGUAGAACUCGCUCAUUUUCAUCUUCAGUACACUUCACUUGGUUUAGAUCUCUAUUUCUGUCCAUCCCCUGCUAAAAUAUCUGCAAAAACCUUUCCAUGCAUCCUACUAAUUUAUUUGUAAAAUUUUUCUCAUUAAACUUCUAGACAUCUGGUAUACGCUCUCAACUCACCUUGAAGCACAAAAAUGCAAAACUCGAACUACUUGAGGAAGCACCAGCCAAUGGGAAUAGAAAAUAAUAUCCACCAUCUUAGUCUACUUGAAUACAGCCUAAAUAAAGAAACAGAGAAAAUCGUAGAAAUGAAUUCAAAUAGUAACAUGUUUCACAAUAUCAUUUUAGUCAUUCUCAAUAUAAAAAGAAACAGAGAGAGGACUCGUCUAUAAGUAAAUGUUCACUCAGAAGCAUAAUAACUCAAUUACAAAAACUAAAUAUGCAGGCUAAUUCCAAUCCAUUCAAGAAAAUGCUAUCAUUAUUUUAAGAAAACCAAAACAAAAAGUAAUCCAAUUCAGUUAAAUCAACAAGCGAACAUGAAGACAANNNNNNNNNNNNNNNNNNNNNNNNNNNNNNNNNNNNNNNAAAACAACACCCCCCCCCCCCCCCCCCCCCCCUUUUUUUUUCAAAUUAGCAGAUUUCUCAUCUAUACCCAAUACUAAUCACCUUUGUUUCACAAUAAUUUCUCCAAACUGUGACACAAUUAAUAUGAAUAUCCUUCCAACAAGCAACCACAGAAUCACAACAAAUUCAAUCAGACAAAUAAAACAUAUUGAAUGUGAAGACGGGAAAUUCACCAGAGGCAGAAGUAAUGUAACAAUUUUGGAGAAAACUGAGACAAUCCACAUUACUAAAGUCGUCAAGAAGAAUGCUUCAGCCCUGUUCUCAACUCAAUAUUAAACCAGAGUAGUUCUGUAAUACAGUUUCUAUGGUUUAUUAUAGGUGAUGAUGCAUCUAGCAUGUGAUGUCUACAGAUUGUUAAUGGAAGAGUAUGGGUUCAUAAAUAUAUCUCUAUUUCUGAAUUGGUGGGAUUGUGCUAAUUUAUAAAUAAUUCAGAUUAUGCCGAUACACAGUUUGCUGGAGAAUCAGAGUGGCGGCUUGAAGGAGCUGCUAAUAGAAUGGAGUUUGGGGGUCUUGAGCUCUUACUGAUACGUUUCUGUGGGCAGACGAGGGGAAUGAUAGAGUUCCUGUGGAGAGAGAGAGAGAGAGAGAGAGUAAUGUUAGUGGAUAAAUGAACGGAGGAAGUCGAAUUUUUGGGAAUUGUGAGUACUGGAAACUAAAAUCUACCUCCCCAAUCAAAAUAUUUUCCUUAAUUUUGAGAAAAAAAUAUCAAUCAAACAAUCAAAAGUAGGAAUUUCGAUGGAAAAAUGAUAUUUUUCAUGAAAAGUAUUGCCAAUCAAACAUAGCCCAAUUGUCAAUUAUGCAAUAUAGAUCAAACGCAUAAAAGUAAAGAACAUCAAAUUUGGUAAUGAAGGCAAAACCCUUUGAAGAACUCUUAACAUGGAUAAAAAACCUUCUAUCUAAUUUUGUCAAAAAUGAUCCAUUAGAAAAGAUAACUUACAGUUGGUCCAGAACUAUGACCACCCAACGUGUAAAUUAUUGAAGAACCUAUUCAAUUGUGCAACCUGCACUUUUCAACAACUCUGAAGUUCUUUUCCCUUUACAUGGAUCACCAGGAAAAAACUCAUUAGGGAACAACUGGAACUCCUACUAUCUCUUUCCAAAUUUAGAACUCUGAAGGCUUAUUGGUAAAUGUAAUGAUUUUUGGUGUUUCAUCUUCUGUGUUUUGAUCUCGUAGUUGAGGCAAGAGAUUUAUGGAAUAUGUAUUUGAUCUUUGUAGGUUAUUCUCUUGACUAAAAUAAAGACUCAACUAGUUGCAAAAGAUGUUUAAGAAUUUUGAUAUCUUGUGGUUGAAUCACAAGAUCUUUGGAUUAUUUUAUGGAUCUUCAAUAAAGUGUGCUCUUGUAUGAAUAAUUGUUCAACCACACACAAAUGAAAUCUGGCUUGGGUAUAUAUAAUAUGGAGUGUUUGAGGUUGAAUAAAACUCCAAAAUCUGUUAAAAAUCACAAAUAGGAUUUCACUAGAUACCACCAUAGCUUGAGCGCUGGACUCGCGUUUAGCGAGUGUUUAGCGAGCGAUGUGAGGUUGCUAGCAAGCAGUUAGUGUAUUGCUUUUUUUCACUAAAGAGCCUCGUGCACUGUUAGCUAGCGGUUUUGCAGUGACCUUUUCUCCUUGUUUUGUCUUUGACUUCUUCAAGACUUAUACUACUAACCCUCAACUCUUUAACUUUAAUUACAACUCAAUAAACUAUGAUUUUGAACAUAAGAAUAGCCAAUUACAGUUUGGACCUAACAAACUCCCUCAAACUUGUUUACUAAUCAUAAAAUACAAAAAAUUACUCCCUUGACUUAUAUACUACUGACCUUUGAAAUAAAUACCUCUAUCAUUUUUGUCAUGAAUAACAAAGGGGUAAACAACAAUCAGUUGCCUCUUCUUGAGUAAGAUCCCUAUGUAUACGCACAUGUAAUGAGAUUGGGAAAAAAAAAAUCUUUUAAAUUGAACACUUUUUCAUGGAUUUUUUGAAAAUCACACUUUUUCGUCAAUUUUUAGAAUUAACACCAUUUCAUGGAAAGAUUUAUCACAUCAUGACAUGAACAGUUAUUUGAUUAGUUAUACAUGUAUAGUUCAUGAAUGCUAAAAUUCUUCCUACAUAACUCAUUCAUAACUUAUACCAAGUAAAUUAUAUAAGCAGUCCAUGUGUGUAAAGUGUCACUAAUCUUUUGCAAGCAUUACUCAAAACCUUAUAUCAGCAAGAAAAGACAUGCAGAGAAAUCACUGGUGAAUGGAUAUAUAUUCUUCAAAUAAUGACAAACCGGUACUACUAAGGACUUUUUAAUGAAAAAGCUCAUGUUAAUAACUUUUUCUUUCUGCCCCCCCAUCUGUGAGCGUAUAUAAUUUUUUUUCUAUAUGUGCAAACUUUUCUUCAUAAAGCUUACUAAAUAAUCUUGGAAUAAGCUUUAGGCCGAUGUCUUCCAAGUCUAGAAAACUAUAGUACACCAUAUUUUAA
rnacentral:lncRNA from 1 species